rnacentral:rRNA from 1 species
AUGGCCUCGUCUUCUUCUUCGCCUCCACGGGAGCCUGCACGAGAAUCUGCACCGGCGCCUGCACUGGAGCCAGCAGAGCCGCCUGUACCGGCGCCUCCAGCGGAGCCUGCACCGGUACCUGUAGGACUGCCUGCACCACAGCGUGCAGCGGAGGCUGCAGCGCUGCCUCCGGCGGUGCCUGCACCCAAAUGGGUGAUGCCGUCCGUCUCGAACCUUGCGCAGCUCCUGCCGACGGGCACGGUGCUGGCAUACGAGGCGCUGUCCCCGACCUUCACCAACCACGGCAAUUGCAAUAUCGCCAACAAGGUGCUCACCGGGGUGAUGAUAUUGGUCCUCGCCAUCAUGUGCGUAUUCUUCUCCUUCACGGAUAGCAUCGUCGGCAGCCACGACGGGAAGCUCUACUACGGCGUCGCGACAUGGCAUGGCUUCAACGUGUUCAACUUCUCCGACGACCAAAAGAGGCAGGAAUGGACCGUUCUCGACUUCAAGAAGCUCCGCCUCCGGUGGCUGGACAUCGUCCAGGCCAUCUUCACGGCCGUGGUUUUCCUCACGGUGGCGUUCAGUGACGUGGGGCUGCAGAACUGCUUCUUUCCAAAACCCGGCGGAAAUACUCAGCAGGUGCUCAAGAUCCUGCCGCUGGGCAUGACGAUUGUGUCCAGCUUUGUGUUCACCAUCUUCCCCACCAAAAGAAAGGGCAUCGGCUUCAACGACAUCACUCCUCGCCAGACCGCAAGUCAAUCAAACGCAGUUUGA